UAGGGAAUCUUCCGCAAUGGACGAAAGUCUGACGGAGCAACGCCGCGUGAGUGAAGAAGGAUUUCGGUUCGUAAAACUCUGUUGUUAGGGAAGAAAAAAUGUAUAGUAACUAUAUACAAAAGAGACGGUACCUAACCAGAAAGCCACGGCUAACUACGUGCCAGCAGCCGCGGUAAUACGUAGGUGGCAAGCGUUGUCCGGAAUUAUUGGGCGUAAAGCGCGCGCAGGUGGUUUAGAAAGUCUGAUGUGAAAGCCCACGGCUCAACCGUGGAGGGUCAUUGGAAACUAAUAAACUUGAGUGCAGGAGAGAAAAGUGGAAUUCCUAGUGUAGCGGUGAAAUGCGUAGAGAUUAGGAGGAACACCGGUGGCGAAAGCGGCUUUUUGGCCUGCAACUGCCACUGAGGCGCGAAAGCCAGGGAAGCGAACGGG
rnacentral:rRNA from 1 species